rnacentral:rRNA from 1 species
AUCGAUGAAGAACGCAGCGAAUGCGAUAAGUAAUGUGAAUUGCAGAUUUUCAGUGAAUCAUCGAAUCUUUGAACGCACCUUGUGCCCCUUGGUAUUCCGAGGGGCAUGCCUGUUUGAGUGUCAUU